UUGAAGGUGAGGAAACGGGGGUGCAGAGCAGUGAAGUAGCAUGUCCAAUGCUUACCCCGUAGGUAAGUGGCAGGACCCGACCCGCGACUGUCCAGCUCCUCACUCCCAGCCUCUCUGCUGUAAGCACUCCUCCCCGCCACUCACUCCUGCAGCCUUCAUUGUUACUUUUUAUCAGUAGCAGGUGGAGGCCAUGUCUUAAACAUCUUGCCUCUCCUUCCCUGAGCAUCUAGAACAAAGCAGACCCACGGAAAAUCUUCACUCAUGGAAGCGGUUCUUCCGCCAGGGGCACCCUCUACCUGCCAGCUCUCUUCAACCUAGGACAGUUUCUGAUCCUCUUUGGAUUCCGUGGCCUCUGUAAUCCUCCCUGAGCGGCCACGGUCCUGCAUCUGAGGAGGUCCCAGCCAUCCCUACCGUUACUGGCUUGCCUGUGACAAAUAUGGGACUGGCACUUCAGCUGGGGAAAAGCAGCAGCAGGAGUUGAUCAAUUCCUAAGCAACGAAGAUCCUGUUUUCAUGCAAACGUCCUCGGCGUUAAAACAAAAACAAAUCCCUCCCAGGGAGUGUCCUAGAUGCCAAGACACAUUUUUGAGUGAGGUUUUGCGCCUGCGCGAGAGACUAACAGGGAUGAGAGGAGAGAGUGCGUGCCAAGUGCCGUCUGGUAGACUCUCAUGUGAACCUCAGAGCCGCCCCGCCAGCUUGCACCGUCAGAGCCCGACUUGACAGAUAAGGAAAUAGGCAGUGAGAAAUGAGGGAACAUGCCCAGUGUCAGUCAGCGGGCAAAUGGCGGCCAGGGGACGUGACCAGGUCUGACGGAAGCUGUGUCGUUUCUGACACAGGCACCGGGAUCGACUGUGAAUACAUUCACCUUACGGAGACUGCGGUAUGACCACGGACAUUUCGAGUGACUUGCUCUUCACAUCACCAGAUAAAAAGAAAUUAGGAUGGUGCCCGACUGCCAUCUCUCCUUACAAAAAACGAGACCCGGGUGUGAAUCUGGAUUAAAUGUCAGACUUGACUAAAUGCUGUUUAAUCUGUGACACUUACAAAGUGCUCGGGAGUGUCCUUGACUACUUGGCUCUAGGCGUGGGCUUGGCCUCCUUGCCUCUGAGGCCAAGAGCAGAUAAAGAGAGGAGACCAAGAGGGAUGUUACGAUGUAAUACAGGACCUUUGGGUGGAAUGACAGUAAGUGCCCUGAGUUCUGAAGAAGUGAGACCUCUGAGGGCUUCCUGGAGGAGGGGAUAUUUCAAUUCAAUUUAGGAGGUCUCGUAACAGCUCUGGCCUGAUUCUGGAGAAGCUGGGUGCCCGCCAACACCAGUGCUACCGGCAUGUCACCAGGAUCACCGGGCCUGCCUGAUGGUUACGGAAAGUGUCCACAAAGCAUCUAGCCUCCAGCUGGUUCCAGCAGCUUUGUCCUUUGAGAUCAUAGAUGCCCAAAGGCCACACACCUAGGGGCAGGCCACAUGAUUCACUUUUGGUAAAUGACCUGUUAUACCAGGCUUGUGGCAUUCUAGUGCUGUAAGGUUAUCCGGUACCACCCUCUUACUGCUCAUGCCUCGCCCCAGGCUCAUGGUCCAAUGAAGACUCCAGCUCAAAUCUGUUUCCUCCCGCUCUGAGAUCCCCUGUGCAGCCCCAGUCUCACCCUGAGGGGGUAGUAACCGGCUUCGGCACAUGCUCUGAUGCCCCUGGUGGGCCCGGAGCACAGAGAGCCUAACCACCGGCUGCAGCCUUCCCAAGUCAGCCUGAGAGCGAUUCGAGGGUGGGGAGGAGCUCCCAACGCAUCUCUCUUCCUAGUGCCCAGGCAACGGUCUGGUGCUGCGGAAGGCGAGUAGGCAAGUCUGGCAGGAAAAUAGGGCCCACGAAGGGGUUUUGUGCAAGUUAAAAGUGACGAGAAGCAGCUAAGAAGAGUGGGAAGAGAUGGACUCUGUGUACCAAAGACCCGGUCUGGCAUCGGACACUGUCACUGUGUCAGGGAUUGAGAGAGCUCCCCUUUUCCUCCCAGCGUUGCAGCUGGACUACAUUUCCCAGCCUUCCUUGCAGUUAGGAGUGGUCAUGUGACUGCAUUCUGGUCAAUGGAACAUGAAUAGAAGAGAUGUGGGCCAACUCCAGGCCUCGCCCCUAAAACCCUCCCACUUAUGGUUCUCUCUCUUUCUCCAUCUACCAACUGAAUGGAGAGAGCGCCCAGGAUUAGAGGGAAACAAAGCCACAAGAAGGAGAGAGCCCGGGUCCCUGAAUCACCGUGUGGAAGGCCGCCUGCCAAACACACACCCUGAAUCGCGUGAGCAGGAAGUAAACCCUAAGGGCUUAAGCUAUUAAAAUGUGGGGGCAGUUACAGCUCUUAGUCCAGCUUGACUAAUACAGUCUCUUACUAGCCAUGUGGCUCUGGAAAAGUUUCUUAACCUACCAGAGUUUCAGUUUCCUUCUCUGUGAAAUGAGAAUUAAAAAAAUCUUCCUGAGAACCACCAAGGUCACCCUUGUCAGCCUCCUGCAUUAUAACUUCUGUGAGUCCGAGGCCCUUUUGCCUUCACCAGUCCCGUUCUGCAUUUUAAAAAAAACCCCAAAUGCAAAAAAAUUUAAAAUUAGGGUUUACAGUUAUAAUUGCUAUAAAGAUGAAUAUAAUCUAGGCUGAAUUCAUCAUGAUGGUUAUCAUUAUUAUUUUUAUAUUUGAUUUUAUACUCACUAUUAUUAUAUUCAUUUUUUUCUUCCGAUUUUAAGAGAAAUUAAAAUUAAACAUUUUCUGGGGUCCUAAAGCCGUGAGCCCUGGGCACUCACUGUUCCUAUUGUACUUAAUGGAGAAGCCAAUCCAGCUUACUAUAGCACCUGGCCCGCCACUCACGCAAUAUGUGGUAACUAUGGAUAUUAAAAAUAAUAAUAGGGAGAUGGAGGCACGAAACAGCGACAAAUGGUUAUGAAGCCCUUUCAUACGUCUCAUUUUCUCCAGCUCUCGCCUCCAUUGUCUAAGAUGCAUGUCGUCUGUAUUUUCUGAAGCAGAGAAGUGAGGGUCAAGGAGACUGCGUUAUGCUCAAGAAAGGCAGGGCAUCCACCACUCGGUGCUGUACGCAUGGCACCUUACGUCAGCCACCAUGCUAGGCACCUGUCUUAUUUUAUCACAUUUAAUUUUCACAGCCCGAUGAUGAGGUAGGUUUCUUACUUAACCCCAUUUUAUGACUGAAAAAAGAAACUGAUGCUAAGGACAAGGAACUGAGCUCAGAACCGAAACCACUUCUAGUGCUGAAUCUAAUGCUCCUUCCACCACCUUGCCUUUCCAUCUAUCAAUAGCUGUGUCGUGAGAAUUGAUAAAGGGCAGUGUCUGUGGAGGGUGUCAGACACCCCAACACCUUCCGCAGAGCAGAGAAGAACCUGCUCAGGGCUGACAUGCGAGAUUAUGCUUUCUCAUUCUCCACCCAAAUGUACUCUUUAGAAAGUCUAAUUAUAGUGACUUCUAUUUUCUUGUAAAUAACCACAUCUGUCAUAACUGAUUUGACUGAUCUGAGGCUCCAAGUUGGCAGUCUUGGCGGCCUGAGCCAAUGUGUCAAUUAUGCCAAGGAGGCUGUAAGCAAAAGUUUCACAAAUGGAAGAGAGAAAAGAAAAAUUAGUCACAGGCAUAUAGAUGGUGGGGAUCGAUACAUGCUUUUUCACAACAAGGAAAAGCAUAUAACUUAACAUGGCCGAUGAGUGUCAAGCCCUUAGCAACCCAACUUAGUAAAAACAGAGCCAGGCAGAUCCCAGGAAAUGAAAACCAUCUUUUCAGUGAAGACUCAGUUCUAGAAACUGGCUUCUUAAAUAGCUUUCGAGUCUCAGUAGAUACUUCCAGGAAUUUGCCAUAGCCCUUAAAGCUUGUUUUCAGGGAGAAAGGCAGAAGGAAGUGCUCCCAUGAUUCAAGAAUGUAGUCUUAAGGGCUAGAUUCAGAGUGCGGCUGUUCAGCCGGCAUCAAGUAUCAGCAAGAACUUUGUAUCUGGACUUACGUACAAGUCUACCCUCUCCACCCCAACCUAGCGGUAGUGUGACUAAGGAAAUCACUGAGGCUUCCCGAAUCCAUCUCAAGCUUUCUCUUCUGUAAGUGCUGACAACCUAGAACUCUUGUGGAACUGAUGGUAUAAUGACUGUGUGUGACAGCCUGUUGGAAAGUGUAAGCACUGCAUAAAUGCUAAUCAUCAUCCUUAUUACUCACGGAUCAGCAUAUACUGAGUCCUGUUUUCAAUCCAUGGCUUCUUUCUUUCCUCAAAUAACUCUAAGUAGAAACGGUCACGCUUUAAGUCAGAGAGGGGUCGUAUGAGAGAUGGGAUCUAGUUGGGACUUCUUUCAUAGGAAGGUGUUUGAAAGUCAUUUUAUCCACCAUGCUCUGAAAGCCCCUGCAUCCGAAAGGAGCAUCUUCCAGGUGGGAACGUGGGAAAGUGAACAGCGCCUCUCAUCUACUCCCCACCUGCCCACCGGAAAUGGACACAUGCUUUCCGCGACCCGAUUCCUGUAACCUGCCUUGGGUCUAGCUGACCUAUGCGAGCAGAGUAAUCAGAGCAGAGAGGCUGAUGCCCUACUGACUAGGCUCUGAGUUCAGCUCAGUUGUUUACUUAUGGUGUGACCUUGGGCAAGUCACCGCACCUUUCUAUGCUUCAGUUUCCUCAUCUGUAAGAUGAGGGUAAGAGCAGUACCUGUCCAGCCCUUGGGGUGGUGGAGAAAUAAAUGAAUCAACACAUGUCAGUGGGGCCAGGCCAAUGGGAACCAAUCGGUAUGGGUUGGAAUUUACUACGACUGCGGCGACAUUCACAUUACAAGUCAAUGGCCUUCCCUCCCCCAUCCAGUAUCUAUUAACACGAGUGUUUAACAUGUUAACCAUCUUCAGAUUUUCCACAUUAAACCCCUUACUAGAAAGAACAUUCUGUGGUCCACACAGAAGAUCUGGCGGCAAGAAUAGUGUUAAAAGCUCCAUGAUCUGUAUCUGAAUCUUCAAGAGUCACCUCCUUCAACAGAAGUUCGUUUCAAAGGCAGAGAUGUUGGAGAGUUCUGGGUUUAGAAUCAGAGGGCCGAGUCCUAGCCCAAUGCCAUUUUCUCUACUUUGUGGCCUUGGGCAAGUCGCUGCCUGUCUCUGAGUAUUAAUUUUCUUGGAUGUAAAGUAAAGGGGGCUUUUGGCUAUAAAUUUCAGUUUACUCAUCUGUAAAAAGGGAUAAUAAGAACUAUCAUAGAGGUGCUAUGAGGUGUAAACCAAAAAACUAAGAUGGAUGAGGCAUUCUCCCUACAUCAUCCCAUUAAUCCUUAAAAGAAGCCAACGAGGCAGGUGUUACUUUCCCCCAUUUUACAGACGAGGAAAUUGAGGUUUUAAGGCCAGGUGUCUUCAUGUGUCAUGGCAGCAGUGUGAGUUCCAAAGCUGCACACUGGACGAAUUCUAGGGCUUACAUUUAGGUCUUCAUUUAAAUGACAAAUAAAAAUGUGGAUGGUUUUCUAAAGCAAUGGUUUUCCUUUGCUUUGCGUCUAUCACUAUUUCUUCAGAAAAUGCCAGUGCAACAUUGUAACAACAUUGGCAAUCUUUGUUAACAAUAUAGCUACCGAUGUGGAGCUCCAAUCCAGACUGGUCAGGUUCAAAUCCUGAUAAGGUCACUCACCUACUGACUCUGGUAUCCUGGCAAGUUACACCCCUCCUUGUAACUGAUUCCCAGCUGUGAAUCUGGAAGGAGUGUGGUGAGAAUCAUGGAUUAUGAACGAUGAAUUAUGUGGGUUAACAGAUGGCUUUGUGGUCACAGCCAGUGCUUUUUAUAGGUUAUUAUUAUUUGUUAGUUCUGUUGUUGUCUAGUCCUCUACAGUUUACCCAAGUCGUUCCCCUUAUAUCAUAUGUGGUUCUUGUAUCUAAGAGGAGUCAGGGCGGAAGUGAUCAUUUGCCUCUUAAAAGUAUUUAAAGGUAUAAUUAUUACCCCAUUUUACAGAUGAGUAAGUAUACUGAAACUAAAAUAGUGACCCACCCAAGGUGACAGGAUGGUUCAGGGUCAGAUGUAGUCACUAAGACCCAUUUGAGUUCUUCUGAUAACAAGGCUGGGUGGCUUUUAUGUUUGUUUGUUUGUUUUUAUUUCCUAUGCUGCACUUCACAUCCCUGUGACUAUUUUGUAACUUGCGAUUUGUACUUCUUAAUCCCUUCACCUUUUCAAGGGCUGGAUGACUUUGGACAAGUCGCGGUAUCUCUCUGAGCCUCAUCUAUAAAAUAAGAGGGCUGAAGCUGAAGCCUCAACUCUAUCAUCUCCUGACAGAGAGACACUAAGUACCCGACGAAGCGAAGUUAAUAGGUCAGUGGUUCAUUCAUUCAACUGGAAAAUAUCCGAGCCUGCCUGGGAGCCGAGCAGCGCCCCAAGCUUCGAUGAUCCAACAACAACCAUAAUAGCAGCAGCGGCGGCAAAGGCAGCUCCCACUCACCAACCGCCUCUUGUGCCUGCCUUAGCCUGGCGGAUCCGCUCUCCAUGCUCCUCCGCUCCGCUCCGUGAUGCCUGUGGACUGCUUAGCGGGCAUCCUCACCUCACCCCUUCGCUUCCGGGUGAGUUCUACCGGUGGGAGGAACCAGCACGAGAUCAGAGGGUCAAAGGACAGUGAGGUCCCAGACCCACUGUGGGACCAUAAAAAAUGCAUCGUUUUGUGCUUCGGCUUCCCCACUCACCUGAUGGGGCAAAUAGUAAUACUUACUCCAUGAAUGCGACUUAACUGAGUUAACGCGUUUAGAACAGUGCCUGGCCAUAGUAGGUAUGCAGUAAACGUUAGCUUGUACUACUUAUUUUCAUGUGGGACAGCCACUCUGCUGCAGCUACGCCUCUCCUGAGUUCCAGUGGCCACACUGCUUCUGUCCCAGGGGAGGGAGGACCUCCAGCUGUUGCUUGCUCUGGGAUCCCCAUGGCUUGCUGGCUUCCCUGAACCCUGUCUACCCUCUGUGAAUGGUCCAUUCGUUAAUCUCCUCACUACUCCAUGUCCUGCUGGGACUCUAAAUCCAACACCUGUACAUACUGUUCUAGGUGGUUUUCAUGAGUUUUCUGUAAUGCUUACAUCAUUCCUUUAAGGGAAGUGUUACUGUGCCCAUUUCUACAGAUGGAAAACAGGUUUAAAGUUCAACUCAAGCCCCACGAUUAGGAAGUGGUUAAGUUGCAUUUCAAAUUCAGGCCUAACUUUCAUACCCAGGCUUAGCUUUAAUGCCCAAUGAAAAUGACACAUGCACCUGUGACUUCCCAAAUGCUUAUAGACAAGAGGUGAUGACAAUCUUGUGUGAUGACUAGUCUCAGAAGUAUAAGAACAGUGAACCUGACCGAAGCCAAGGGCACCUAGAAUUGGAGUGUCAGUCAGAGAUGGCUUCCUGGAGGAGGUGAUGUUGCCCUGACUCAUAAAAGAUGCGGAGUUAUUCUGAGAAUGAGAUAGAGAAACUGGAAUGGGUAGAGGAACAGAAGGAUGAGAGAAAGAGAGAAGGAGCUUUUCCAAGAGCUGCAAGCCGUUCGAAAAUCCUAGAGCAGAGAACUCAAUGGGGAGGUGAGGGCAAGAGAGAGAGGCUGGCUCCUCGUGACGAAGAGCCACGAGUGCUGAGCCGAGGAGCAGGGAGCCCGCCACACUUUGAGUGGGAGGCCUGAAGAGCAGCGGAGUUACAGCCCCUCGGGCGCGGCCCACAGCAGUGGCUGAUGGGAGCUGGUGAGGAAGUACCACACCUGCCUCGACCCUCAGGGAGAGGACGCCGAGGGGCGCCGCGGCCUUCCCUGGCGCGCAGGUGCACGGUGGGGCUGAGCCCCAGCUGCCCGCCAUGCGAACGUGCUUGAAAGCGCCCCAUGUCCUGCCCCUUCUCAGCCCAGUGCCGCAUCCCGGCUCCUACCCCAGCGCUCCCGUCACUUCUCGAAUAAACGACCUGCACUUGAAUUUUGGUCUUGCGGCCUUCCUCCGGGGAACCCAGACUGAGACGGUCUGAUUCUUGGUUUCAUAGAAUGAAAGAGCACAGAAUGAGGGGGCUUCAGGAGUAAGAACCUUCCAGAAGCAGGGAACACAUGGAAUCUACAGCCAGUUAAUGGAGGAGGUGAGAUUUAUCCUGUGUGCAGGCCGAGGGCUCUAAGCAGCUGCCAUGCAUGCGAGGGCAUCCAGGAUCCUGUGUUCUAGUCUUAGCUCUGGACUCAGCAUCAUAUGCUGGAGAGAACAUGGCCUUUCGAGAGGGGUUGAUCCAGAUAUGAAUUCAGGCUGGGUCCCAGAUAGGCAGGUGACCCCUAUAGGAAGUUACGUGGCCUCCCAGCGCCUCGGUUUGCUCAGCUAAUGAUGUUCAAGUGUGAAAAUGUAAAUAAAAAACACCUCACUAAGGAA